rnacentral:rRNA from 1 species
UACGUAGGGUGCGAGCGUUGUCCGGAAUUAUUGGGCGUAAAGAGCUUGUAGGCGGUUUGUCGCGUCUGCCGUGAAAAUUCGAGGCUCAACCUCGAACUUGCGGUGGGUACGGGCAGACUAGAGUGUGGUAGGGGAGACUGGAAUUCCCGGUGUAGAGGUGAAAUUCGUAGAUAUCGGGAGGAACACCAGUGGCGAAGGCGGCGAUCCUGGGAAGAUACUGACGCUGAGGUGCGAAAGCGUGGGGAGCAAACAGG